rnacentral:lncRNA from 1 species
CCGCCCGCCCACUCCUCCACCUCCACCGCUCCGUACCCGCCUCCUUUAACCCCCGCUGCAGCCCACCCUGCCCUCCUCCUCCUCUUCCUCCUUCUCCUGCUGUCGCCGGCUACAGACAGCGUGCAGAUACAGACUGCUUCUCAGAAACAGUGGUGGUGCUGUGAAUGUUUAAUUUUUAUUUGGUUAAGGAGAACCCCAGGAUGCUUUCCCUCCAUGGAGGUGGCUCCAUCCAACAAGGAGAAGGUGCCCUUGUUCCAUUUGCCCUCCCUUUUGCCCCUUUGACCCACAAACGCUGCAGGAUUAAAAUGUAAGUACAUAAUAUUCUGGUUUCGCGCUACCGUGCCUGAUUACAAGAAGCAAUCACAACCCAAAAACGCUAACCAAAGCUCAUUUGGGCCAAAGCUCAUUUAAAUAGACUGAAGGAAUGUGUUCUGUGGACAAAGACAAGAGCAAAACAAAACAGAGCCAUGUGCUACAGAGCACAUGGCUAGGAACACAAGCAGAGUAAGGAAAGCAAGAACACAAGACAAGAACAGAAAGAACCAAGAAAAGAGGAAACAUAACAAACAUAGGCUAGGUGUAAAACCAUCAUAGCAGCAUGGCUUUACUCUAAAUUGCUACAGGUCAAAUAGCUUAAACUCAAUGGUCUACAUUUGUAGAUAACUUUUUAGUUGGCACUGUCAAGCAAAUUUCAUUUAUUCUAAAAAGUCUUUGACAUUGCUGUGAGUAUAUGAUUUCAUUUUGC